UUUCCUAAUCAACUUCUCCUUCUACCAUGUUUGUAUUGUUUUGAAGUCGCUUUCCUGACUUCACAGUUGCUAGGCUUACUGCUUGAGCAGUGGCACACAGUACUGUACCUCAUGUAGCCUCAACCAGCUCUUCCUUUUAUGCGAACCCCCUCUCCCUCUUUUCCCUUCAAGAGAAUUGCACAAGCUUCCCAGCAUCCGUAUCUAAUAAGCAAGCACAAUGGAACGUAUCAUUCCAUUCAUCUACAGAGCUAUAACUCAGCAUGCAAGUGGAGGGGAAGAUUCUUUACAAGGUUCAUGGUUUGAUGAAUCACCUUCAGCUUAUUACAUGCGACUGCUCAGUGAUUCCAGCGGACUCCGGUCAUCUUCGGGUAUCAAAGGCUUCUCGACGUCACCACCAGCACCUGCUCCAGCUGCAACAAAGUUAGUCUGGCGAACCACCUGGCAUCAGCUCGUCCGAAGAUCACAAAGGUGAGCAAGGCCAACCUGGUUGUCUUGGUGCAACUGGAAGAGUCAAGAACAUGCAACUUCUUUCUUGAUGCAGGAACGUAAAAGAAUGUUAAAACAUAGUUGGAUGUCAUG
rnacentral:lncRNA from 1 species